rnacentral:rRNA from 1 species
AUUGAACGCUGGCGGCAGGCUUAACACAUGCAAGUUGAGCGGGGAAAGGUAGCUUGCUACCUGACCUAGCGGCGGACGGGUGAGUAAUGCUUAGGAAUCUGCCUAUUAGUGGGGGACAACAUUCCGAAAGGAAUGCUAAUACCGCAUACGCCCUACGGGGGAAAGCAGGGGAUCUUCGGACCUUGCGCUAAUAGAUGAGCCUAAGUCAGAUUAGCUAGUUGGUGGGGUAAAGGCCUACCAAGGCGACGAUCUGUAGCGGGUCUGAGAGGAUGAUCCGCCACACUGGGACUGAGACACGGCCCAGACUCCUACGGGAGGCAGCAGUGGGGAAUAUUGGACAAUGGGCGAAAGCCUGAUCCAGCCAUGCCGCGUGUGUGAAGAAGGCCUUUUGGUUGUAAAGCACUUUAAGCGAGGAGGAGGCUACUUAGAUUAAUACUCUAGGAUAGUGGACGUUACUCGCAGAAUAAGCACCGGCUAACUCUGUGCCAGCAGCCGCCGCAGUAA